CUAAAGAUGAGAGCCAGCUACUUGGAUUAACAAAGGGUGGUGAAGUGAAUAACAUAAUCCAAGUAUGUAUAUGGUAGCCAUGAGUUCACAAACAAUGCAUAGACAUGAUAAUUGCAAAUUCAGUUCAAGUUCUAUUAGAUAGAGAAUGGCAUCAGAUUAGCGAGUUUCGAAUCAAAGCAGUAUAGUCAAGUUGUAAAUUGAAAGCGGGGUGCAGUCUUACUUCAGAGAUACAAUCGGUUAUGCAACAGAGAACUAAUAAGCUGGGCAUUGAACUUACUUCAUUGAAUUUACAUGCUCAACGGUUUGAAAUCAUCAUUAUCCCCUAUGCAAAUGAGCAAUCCUAAAUGCAAGCACUCUAUAUACAAUUCUAAAAUGAAAUGCAAUCUACAUGACACUCUGUUUUUGUGAAAUCAUUUUUU
rnacentral:sRNA from 1 species